UUUGUCUAGAACUCCAGGUCACGUGGGCCCCGCUGGAGUGCCUGGUUGGCUGCUGGCGGGCCGGGGGAGGGGGCCGGCCUCCGACGCUGGCAGUGGGCCAGCCCCUCUCCGGGGUCCGAGGGGCGCGGGGGCCUGGGGGCGAGGCGGGCCUGCGCCCGUUCCCAGGCCCCGCCCCGGCGCGCGCCCCCUCCUCGGCCGCCCGCCCUGCCCCCUCGGCCCCGCUCCGGAGGAGAUUAGCGCCGGGCCGUGGGUCGGGCGGGGAGCCGCGGGGCGCCGGGAAGGAGGGCCGCGGGGAGGGGCGGGCGCGCCGGCCGCGGGCCCCGGGGAGCCUGGCGGAGCCGGGCAGGACAGCACGGAGCUUGCGGACGGCCUGGAAGAGCCAGGAGAAAGUUGUAGAAAGAGCCUCCAGGUGUAGCCUCCGCCAUUUCAAGCUCCCGCCUAAGCAGAGGCACCUACCCCCAAGGCGACGCAGUCUCCACCCACACCCUCCAUUAGGAGAGAGCUGUCUGGCUGCAAAAGUGGCAGAAAAUCUGGACUUGAGUUCUGAUUCCACCACCAUGACCUUGAUGUGAGCCACUUAACCCCAAGAAGUCUGUUUUCUCAUCUGCAAAACAGGAAUGAUGACAUCAGCUCUCUGGAGCGCUGAAGACCAGCAUCCUAAGGACAAUGAGAUAACUCCCCAGGUGCCUGGCCCCCAGCCAUAGUCAACUGGGACAUACCAGCUGGAACAGGUAAUUCUGAUGCCAGCCAGUUGUGAGAACCAGAGAAUUACGAGUGAGGACACUGAGGCCUCGACAGGACUGGGCCCACCUGAAGGGCCAGAACCACCGACUGAAGAGGAAGUGGUCUGGAGAGAGGACAGGCCCCGCUCUCCUGUCCUGCCACUUCUGUCCACCAACCAAGAACUCCUGGGCCUGCACUGCUCCACCCGAGUCUGGGGGCAGAGAUGACGUUGCGGGGGGGAGGUGUGGCCAUGCUGCACUGACCCCAGGACUCACCUGCACCUUAACUCGAGAAUCAAGGGGUCCAAAGAGAAGACCUGGAGGGCCCAGGGAGAGCAUGGCUACCGCUGAAAACAGCAGGAGCGCCUGCCAUCUCCAUCCGAAAGGGAAAUUUAAAUUCCGGCACCAAGUCCUUUCCGGUCUUCCCCCACACGGGCGGCUUGAAAGGUGUUCCUGGCAUCUGCCUGCCUCCAAGCCCAUCCUUUUUCUUCAGCUGGUCCUUCCAGAUCCAAGAGCCUGCACCUGGGCCUACCUCAGAAUGACCUGGAGACCUUUAGAAGUGACUUGUUCUGGCUGUCACUAAAUUCCCGUGUUUAAACAAAACUCCCAGGUGACCCUAGUGUGCAGUGAGGUCCCAGAUGCAGGUUAUACAGUAUUUCGGGGAAUCUCCUCAGGUUUGUUUACUUCUAAGCAUCUGAAGCUGGGUGGUUCUCAGACUUCAGAGACCCCUGGAACAUGUGGGGACCUGGCUGAUAUCCAGGCUGUUCAGACACGGCUCCAGAGAUCCUGCUGCAGUGGCUCAGAAAGGGGACGUGCCUUGGAUACAGUGCCUGGGGAAUCCCGAGGAGUGACACAAACCCACCUCCAGGGAACAUCUUUGGUGUGUAGGAAGCAGGUUCAUAUUCUGAUUUUUGCCCCAUAAAGUUGCUUUUCAAACACCACCAAGAUUCAAAUACAUAGGGGUCUGAACUGUUAUUCCUAUUUUUUGUCCACUCCAUCUGAGCUGGAAGUGAAAAUAAAAGUAUUUGCACUGCCUACUCUUAAUUGUUAAAGUGGAAGACGGG